UGAGAAUGAUGAGAUUCCAGUUCAUUGGUCCGUGUUUCUGAAACACAUGAUCUUUGUGGAACUUCUGACUCA
rnacentral:snoRNA from 1 species